GAAUGGAUCCUUCCACAAAAAGAAAACGUCGAAAAUUAUUAAAAAAGUACAACAGAAUAUUUUCGAACAAUACUUUAGCGCAGCCAAUGACUUGUUUAAUGAGUGAAAUUAUUUCUAGCAGCGACAAUUUGUUGGAGGAAGACAUUAAUUUAGCAUUAACCACAACAGUGCGUGGUUUCAAGAAAUAUUCACCAUUCUCAUUCGGAUUGAAGACACCCAAAAAACCCUAACGGGCAUGGUGGUUGGUCUAAGCAACACCAAAUCUGCUGUUAAUGCGCCGGUGGAAGCUUUAAAAUUCAGCACAACAGCAGACGAGCUGGAUAGUCACCUGACUUAUUGGCUGGACCUAAAUGAUUGUGAACGUCAGUCCUUGUUAAAGAUUGCAUCUUUGUCCAAGUGUGACACUUGCAUCACAAAAUCUCUCUGGCAAGCUUUCUAAUAUGUUGUUGGCCCUGGCACCCAGCUCAGUUUGGUCUUUAUAUAGCCGGGAUAGGAAAAGAGUGAAAAGGAGUUUUAGCCCAAGUAUUCUUCCUAUCAUAACAGAUUCUCUGCAGCUAAGAUCGCAAAAACGCAUUAACGCCCAUAAGGUGUCAGAGGCGCUCGGGGAUCAAUUAAAACGAAUGCCAAUGCAUGCAAAACGCGCAGCAGUCAAGGCAGAAGAUAGACUAAUAGGCACACCUAGUCGAGCACCAAAGAAGGCUAAUAUUGCACCUGAAUCUAUUGGGAAUGAUAAUUCUGACAAUAACGCCUUUGAUGAUAUUUGCAACGAUGAUAUUUCGUUUACCAAAGACAGUGAUUAGAUGAAAAAUGUACACAGAUUA